rnacentral:rRNA from 1 species
GACGAACGCUGGCGGCGUGCCUAAUACAUGCAAGUCGAACGCACAGUUUAUACCGUAGCUUGCUGCACCAUAGACUGUGAGUUGCGAACGAGUUAGUAACGCGUCGCUAACCUGCCUGGUAGCGUGGGAUAACUAUUGGUAACGAUAGCUAAUACCGCAUAAUAUUAAUUAUUGCAUGAUAAUUUAUUGAAAGGUGCAAUUGCACCACUACCAUAUAGCCCUUCGUUGUAUUAGCUAGUAGGCGAGGUAACGGCUCACCUAGGCGACGAUACAUAGCCGAACGGAGAGGGUGAUUGGCCAGACUGGGAGUGAGACACGGCACAGAAGCAUACGGGAGGGAGCAGUAGGGAAACUGAGGCAAUGGACGAAAGACUGGACGAGCAAGGCGGGGGGAGUGAAGAAGGUUGUCGGAUCGGAAAGAUCGGUUGUAAGAGAAGAAAGGGGGUGAGAGUGGAAAGUUCACAAUGUGACGGUAGCUUACCAGAAAGGGACGGCUAACUACGUG